CAGUAACAGUACAAGCAGAGCCCUGUUACUGUUAAAGGCAGAGCUUUUAAUGCUGAUGAAAUGGAGAUUACUAUGGCUGAGGCAGGACCUCACAGCUCAGAAGUGACAGCCCAUUCCAACACCUUGGACAUCAGAUUCCUAAACGCCUGAAUGUUUUCCCGCCAACAAGGACUUGGGCCAGAUGAUUUGUGACUUGAGGACUGAAUUCUAAUAGUUAAAAAAGUAACUGAAAGAUAUUUAAAUGAAUUAGAACGGAAUGAAAAAUAAACUUGAACUUGACUUAUAAUAUUAUUUUAAAAUUUGGGGGUGCUAUGUAGCAAAAUAAAAGUCAGUGUAAGCAGUGAGAAAAAGCUAAUUCAGAAAUGAAUCGAAACUUGGUUUGUUUUUUUUACCACCAGAGAAUAGGGAAAUAUUAGUCAAAGAGAGGGCAUGGAAGAAGGGACAUCUAAUGUGAACGAACUUCAUACUUACUACUUAAUGUAGAUAAAUAAAGGCAUUCUUUAUUAAAUCA
rnacentral:sRNA from 1 species